CUGGGCUUGACAUGUACCUGACCGGCCUGGAAACAGGUCCUCCCUUCGGGGCAGGUUCACAGGUGGUGCAUGGCUGUCGUCAGCUCGUGUCGUGAGAUGUUGGGUUAAGUCCCGCAACGAGCGCAACCCCCGUCGCAUGUUGCCAGCAUUUAGUUGGGGACUCAUGCGAGACUGCCGGUGACAAACCGGAGGAAGGUGGGGAUGACGUCAAGUCAUCAUGCCCCUUAUGUCCAGGGCUACACACGUGCUACAUUGGCGUCUACAAAGGGCUGCGAUACCGCGAGGUGGAGCGAAUCCCAUAAAGGACGUCUCGGUUCGGAUUGCAGGCUGAAACCCGCCUGCAUGAAGGUGGAGUUGCUAGUAAUCAUGGAUCAGCAUUGCCAUGGUGAAUACGUUCCCG
rnacentral:rRNA from 1 species